UACGUAGGGUGCAAGCGUUGUCCGGAAUUAUUGGGCGUAAAGAGCUCGUAGGCGGUCUGUCACGUCGGCUGUGAAAUCCCGAGGCUCAACCUCGGGUCUGCAGUCGAUACGGGGCAAACUAGAGUAUUGCAGGGGGAGACUGGAAUUCCUGGUGUAGCGGUGAAAUGCGCAGAUAUCAGGAGGAACACCGGUGGCGAAGGCGGGUCUCUGGGCAAUAACUGACGCUGAGGAGCGAAAAGCGUGGGGGAGCGAACAGG
rnacentral:rRNA from 1 species